AAGAAAGUAAGUAAGGGCGCAUGGCGGAUGCCUUGGCUCUCAGAGGGCGAUGAAGGACGUGAUAAGCUGCGAUAAGCUUCGGGUAGGUGCAAAUAACCUUUUAUCCCGGAGAUUUCCGAAUGGGGCAACCCAGUGUUAUGAAGUAACAUUAUUCCUGCUUGCAGGGAAAGCUAACCCAGUGAACUGAAACAUCUAAGUAACUGGAGGAAUAGAAAACAAUAGUGAUUCCC
rnacentral:rRNA from 1 species